AGUGAACGCUGGCGGCGUGCCUAAUACAUGCAAGUCGAACGGAGUGGCGCACGGGUGAGUAAUAUAUAGCUAACCUGCCCCUUGCUGGAGGUCAACAGUCCGAAAUGACUGCUAAUACUCCAUAGCAAGGGAUGAGACUAUAUCGUAUCAGCUAGUCGGUGGGGUAACGGCCUACCGAGGCCAUGACGGGUAACUGGUCUGAGAGGAUGAUCAGUCACAUUCGAGCUGAGACACGGUCCAAACUCCUACGGGAGGCAGCAGGAGGGAAUAUUGCGCAACGCGGGGAUCCCGUACGCAGCAACGCCGCGGGGAGGAUGACACUUUUAGGAGCGUAAACUCCUUUUGUUAGGGAAGCGGUACCUAACGAAUAAGCACCGGCUAACUCCGUGCCAGCAGCCGCGGUAAUAC
rnacentral:rRNA from 1 species